UACGGGAGGGAGCUAGCGUUGUUCGGAAUUACUGGGCGUAAAGCGCACGUAGGCGGCUUUGUAAGUUAGAGGUGAAAGCCCGGGGCUCAACUCCGGAACUGCCUUUAAGACUGCAUCGCUUGAAUCCAGGAGAGGUGAGUGGAAUUCCGAGUGUAGAGGUGAAAUUCGUAGAUAUUCGGAAGAACACCAGUGGCGAAGGCGGCUCACUGGACUGGUAUUGACGCUGAGGUGCGAAAGCGUGGGGAGCAAACAGG
rnacentral:rRNA from 1 species